rnacentral:miRNA from 1 species
UGAUGACGAUGAUGAUGAUGAUGGUGGUGAUGAUGAUGAUUAUGAUGAUGUUCUCAGCGUGCCCUUAUCUUUAUUUCUCGUCGUCGUGAUCAUCAACAUUCUUUACA